UGAGCAUCGACGAUGAGCCAAAACUAAAUCGUUAUCCUUGCACUUUGAUUGCCAGUGAAGAAAGCCUACGGGGAAUUUAUUAUUUUCUGAGAUGCUC